UAGGGAAUAUUGGACAAUGGGGGAAACCCUGAUCCAGCAAUGCAGCGUGAGUGACGAAGGCCUUAGGGUUGUAAAACUCUUUCAUCGGUGAGGAUAAUGACAGUAGCCGAAGAAGAAGGACCGGCUAAUUCCGUGCCAGCAGCCGCGGUAAUACGGAAGGUCCUAGCGUUGUUCGGAAUUACUGGGCGUAAAGCGCAUGUAGGCGGAACAAAAGUUAGAAGUGAAAUCCCUGGGCUCAACCUAGGAAUUGCUUUUAAAACUUUUGUUCUGGAAUUCAGGAGAGGAAAAUGGAAUUUCCAGUGUAGAGGUGAAAUUCGUAGAUAUUGGAAGGAACACCAGUGGCGAAGGCG
rnacentral:rRNA from 1 species